rnacentral:rRNA from 1 species
GGCCAAGUUUUUUAGGGCACACGGUGGAUGCCUUGGCAUCAGGAGCCGAUGAAGGACGUGGGAGGCUGCGUUAAGCCUCGGGGAGUCGCCAACCUGACGUUGAUCCGGGGAUGUCCGAAUGGGGAAACCUAGCACCAGUCAUGUGGUGUUGCCGCCGUCUGAAUGUAUAGGGCGGUUGGUGGUAACGCGGGGAAGUGAAACAUCUCAGUACCCGUAGGAGAAGAAAACAAUUGUGAUUCCGUGAGUAGUGGUGAGCGAAAGCGGAGGAGGCUAAACCGUGCGCGUGUGAUAGCCGGCGGGUGUUGCGUGUGCGGGGUUGUGGGAGCUUCCGUGGAGGGACCGCCGUUCCUUCGGGCAGUGAUAAAUCGGUGUGGUAGUCGAAGUCUUUGGGAUGGGACGCCGUAGACCGUGAGAGCCGGGUAGGCGAAAUCAUGCCGACUGUUGGGAGUUUUCCCGAGUAGCACGGGGCUCGUGGAAUCCUGUGUGAAUCUGCCAGGACCACCUGGUAAGCCUAAAUACUUCCUGAUGACCGAUAGUGGACGAGUACCGUGAGGGAAAGGUGAAAAGCGCCCCGGUGAGGGGUUGUGAAAUAGUACCUGAAACCGUGUGCCUACAAGCCGUGGGAGCGUAGGCAGCUUGCUGUCUGUGAUGUGACUGCGUGCCUUUUGAAGAAUGAGCCUGCGAGUCAUGGUGUGUGGCGAGGUUAACCUGUGUGGGGGAGCCGUAGCGAAAGCGAGUCUGAAUAGGGCGUUUGAGUCGCAUGCUGUGGA